rnacentral:snRNA from 1 species
GAAAACAUUUUAAAAAAUUGUAAAGAUAUGGAGAAGAUGAGCAUGGUCCCUGAAUAGGAAUAAAUGCAAAUUUGGGAAGUGUUCCACAUUUUU